GCGGUAGCCAGACCAGCUGACAUUCCUCUUGCCUUGGCUCAGCUGUUCCCUUCCUGCUCUGUGUCCAAAUUCUUUCUUUCUCCUUUCUUUCUUUCUCUUUUCUUUCUUUCUUUCUUUCUUUCUUUCUUUCUUUCUUUCUUUCUUUCUUUCUUUCUUUCUUUCUUUCUUUCUUUCCUUUCUUUUCUUUCUUUCUUUCUUUCUUUCUUUCUUUCUUUCUUUCUUUCUUUCCUUCCUUCCUUCCUUCCUUCCUUCCUUCCUUCCUUCUUUCUUUCUUUCUUUCUUUCUUUCUUUCUUUCUUUCCUUCCUUCCUUCCUUCCUUCUUUUCUUUCUUUCUUUCUCUCUCUCUUUCUCCUUCCUUCCUUCCUUCUCCCUCCUCCUCCUCCUUCUUCUUCUUCUUCCUCUUCUUCUUUCCCUCCCUCCCUCCCUGCCUUCCUUUCUCUCUUUCUCUCUCUCUCCUUCUUCUCCCUCUCUCUCUCUCUCCUUCUCUCUCCCUCUCUCUCUCUCUCCUUCUUCUCCCUCUCUCUCUCUCUCCUUCUCUCUCCCUCUCUCUCUCCUUCUCUCUCCCUCUCCUUCUCUCUUUCUUUCUUUUUUUGACAGAGUUUCACUCUUCUUGCCCAGGCUGGAGUGCAAUGGCCUGGUCUUGGCUCACUGCAACCUCUGUGUCUUGGGUUCAAGCGAUUCUCCUGUCUCAGUCUCCUGAGUAGCUGGGAUUACAGGCAUGCGGCAACACGCCCAGCUAAUUUUUGUAUUUUUAGUAGAGAUAGGGUUUCACCAUGUUGGCCAGGCUGGUCUCGAGCUCCCGACCUCAGGUGAUCCGCCCACCUCUGCCUCCCAAAGUGCUGGGAUUACAGGCGUGAACCAUCGUGGCCUGGGCAAAUUCUACCUUUCCCUUGAGAAAAGCAAGAAAACCGAGGAAUGCAAGUCCUGUUAAAUGAUCAGACCCAGAGAGACAUUGAAGUGAGCCAGCCCUGGCAUCCUCCUUCACCCCCAGCUGCACAUUCAUCUAUUGAAGCUGCCUGCUGCUGCCACAGGUCAACACCGUCACCACUCAACUGAUAUCUUACUGCUUUUAUGAAGCCUUCCUUGAUUCCUCCGGCGGGGUGAUACCUCUCAGUAUCUUCCAUGUAGGCUGAGCAUGUUUCCCCAGCUGGAGGAGAGGGUUUCCAGGAAGAGCCUGUCCCAAGGAAGAAUUUUUCUGCUUUGGCCUGGCAUGACCUACCACAGGGAAUCUUUUGAGAGAAGUGAUAUGACGUCCAUUCUACAGAUGAGGAGAUUAAGGCUCAGGGCAGUUCCUCAACAUACCCAAGGUCACCUGGCUGGUAAGCAGUAG
rnacentral:lncRNA from 1 species